rnacentral:rRNA from 1 species
UACGAAGGGGGCUAGCGUUGCUCGGAAUGACUGGGCGUAAAGGGCGCGUAGGCGGCGCAGUUAGUCAGGCGUGAAAUUCCUGGGCUCAACCUGGGGGACUGCGCUUGAUACGGCUGUGCUUGAGGAUGGAAGAGGCUCGCGGAAUUCCCAGUGUAGAGGUGAAAAUUCGUAGAUAUUGGGAAGAACACCGGUGGCGAAGGCGGCGAGCUGGUCCAUUACUGACGCUGAGGCGCGACAGCGUGGGGGAGCAAACAGG